AUUAGAUACCCUAGUAGUCCAAGCAGAAAAUUAUGAAUGCCAUAGAUUAGAUUCACUAUCUUUUUAUACUUUUAGCUAUAUUGAGAUAUCUAUUUCUCUUUUUUUCAUACGAAGUAUGAAAAAAAAAAAUAAGAUACCUUUUUUGCUUGCUUAGCUUGAAAAAAAGGGGGUGUUUUAUAUUUAGUCUAUAAAUGAAAGUGUAAGCAUUUCACCUCAAGAGUAAUGUGGCAACACAGGAACUGAAAUCAUUAGACCGUUUCUGAAACCAGUAGUGAAGUAUGUUAUUUAAUUCGUAUCUACGCGAAAAACCUUACCACAAUUUGAAUAUUAUCUUAAUACUAUCAUAGUUAGAGAGAUAUUACAAGCGUUGCACGGCUGUCUGCAGUUAAUGUCGUGAGAUAUUGGUUAAUUCCAUUAAAUUAACGGAAACCCUUGCUUUAUUUGUAUUUAAAUGAAAUAAAGCUGCACACCUUUAUAUUGGCU
rnacentral:rRNA from 1 species